GAUGAACGCUGGCGGCGUGCCUAAUACAUGCAAGUCGAGCGAACAGAUGAGGAGCUUGCUCCUCUGACGUUAGCGGCGGACGGGUGAGUAACACGUGGAUAACCUACCUAUAAGACUGGGAUAACUUCGGGAAACCGGAGCUAAUACCGGAUAAUAUAUUGAACCGCAUGGUUCAAUAGUGAAAGACGGUUUUGCUGUCUCUUAUAGAUGGAUCCGCGCCGCAUUAGCUAGUUGGUAAGGUAACGGGUUACCACGGCAACGAUGCGUAGCCGACCUGAGAGGGUGAUCGGCCACACUGGAACUGAGACACGGUCCAGACGCCUACGGGAGGCAGCAGUAGGGAAUCUGCCGCAAUGGGCGAAAGCUUGACGGAGCAACGCCGCGUGAGUGAUGAAGGUCUUCGGAUCGUAAAACUCUGUUAUUAGGGAAGAACAAAUGUGUAAGUAACUAUGCACGUCUUGACGGUACCUAAUCAGAAAGCCACGGCUAACUACGUG
rnacentral:rRNA from 1 species